AAAGAUCGCCGUUUUAUACUGUUCAUAUCUAACAUUUGUCUAUCUGUCUUAUUUAAAAAGUUUCUAUGAUUAGUAUUUUUAUUGUUAUUAAAUGAUAAAAUAUAAGUAAUACUUUAUUUCUGACUAUCUUUUUAUUUUUUUCAUAAAGUUUUUAAAUAAGAUGGGCAGUCAAAUGUUAGACACAAAAACCUACAACUGCACUUAGA
rfam:Oryza sativa Japonica Group DNA, chromosome 12, cultivar: Nipponbare, complete sequence.